rnacentral:rRNA from 1 species
AACGCGUGGGAAUCUGCCCUUGGGUACGGAAUAACUCAGAGAAAUUUGUGCUAAUACCGUAUAAUGUCUUCGGACCAAAGAUUUAUCGCCCAAGGAUGAGCCCGCGUAAGAUUAGCUUGUUGGUGAGGUAAAAGCUCACCAAGGCGACGAUCUUUAGCUGGUCUGAGAGGAUGAUCAGCCACACUGGGACUGAGACACGGCCCAGACUCCUACGGGAGGCAGCAGUGGGGAAUAUUGGACAAUGGGCGAAAGCCUGAUCCAGCAAUGCCGCGUGAGUGAUGAAGGCCUUAGGGUUGUAAAGCUCUUUUACCCGGGAUGAUAAUGACAGUACCGGGAGAAUAAGCUCCGGCUAACUCCGUGCCAGCAGCCGCGGUAAUACGGAGGGAGCUAGCGUUGUUCGGAAUUACUGGGCGUAAAGCGCGCGUAGGCGGUUUUUUAAGUCAGAGGUGAAAGCCCAGUGCUCAACACUGGAACUGCCUUCGAAACUGGAAAACUUGAAUCUUGGAGAGGUCAGUGGAAUUCCGAGUGUAGAGGUGAAAUUCGUAGAUAUUCGGAAG